rnacentral:rRNA from 1 species
GAUGAACGCUGGCGGCGUGCCUAAUACAUGCAAGUCGAGCGAACAGAUGAGGAGCUUGCUCCUCUGACGUUAGCGGCGGACGGGUGAGUAACACGUGGAUAACCUACCUAUAAGACUGGGAUAACUUCGGGAAACCGGAGCUAAUACCGGAUAAUAUAUUGAACCGCAUGGGUCAAUAGUGAAAGACGGUUUUGCUGUCACUUAUAGAUGGAUCCGCGCCGCAUUAGCUAGUAGGUAAGGUAACGGCUUACCAAGGCAACGAUGCGUAGCCGACCUGAGAGGGUGAUCGGCCACACUGGAACUGAGACACGGUCCAGACUCCUACGGGAGGCAGCAGUAGGGAAUCUUCCGCAAAGGGCGAAAGCCUGACGGAGCAACGCCGCGUGAGUGAUGAAGGUCUUCGGAUCGUAAAACUCUGUUAUUAGGGAAGAACAAAUGUGUAAGUAACUAUGCACGUCUUGACGGUACCUAAUCAGAAAGCCACGGCUAACUACGUG